AACGAACGCUGGCGGCAUGCCUAACACAUGCAAGUCGAACGAGAUCUUCGGGUCUAGUGGCGCACGGGUGCGUAACGCGUGGGAAUCUGCCCCUUGGUUCGGAAUAACAGUUGGAAACGACUGCUAAUACCGGAUGAUGACGAAAGUCCAAAGAUUUAUCGCAAGAGGAUGAGCCCGCGUAGGAUUAGCUAGUUGGUGUGGUAAAGGCGCACCAAGGCGACGAUCCUUAGCUGGUCUGAGAGGAUGAUCAGCCACACUGGGACUGAGACACGGCCCAGACUCCUACGGGAGGCAGCAGUGGGGAAUAUUGGACAAUGGGCGAAAGCCUGAUCCAGCAAUGCCGCGUGAGUGAUGAAGGCCUUAGGGUUGUAAAGCUCUUUUACCCGGGAUGAUAAUGACAGUACCGGGAGAAUAAGCUCCGGCUAACUCCGUGCCAGCCGCCGCCGUAACAC
rnacentral:rRNA from 1 species